AGAGUUUGAUCCUGGCUCAGAACGAACGCUGGCGGCAUGCCUAACACAUGCAAGUCGAACGAGACCUUCGGGUCUAGUGGCGCACGGGUGCGUAACGCGUGGGAAUCUGCCCUUGGGUUCGGAAUAACAGUUGGAAACGACUGCUAAUACCGGAUGAUGACGUAAGUCCAAAGAUUUAUCGCCCAGGGAUGAGCCCGCGUAGGAUUAGCUAGUUGGUGAGGUAAAGGCUCACCAAGGCGACGAUCCUUAGCUGGUCUGAGAGGAUGAUCAGCCACACUGGGACUGAGACACGGCCCAGACUCCUACGGGAGGCAGCAGUGGGGAAUAUUGGACAAUGGGCGAAAGCCUGAUCCAGCAAUGCCGCGUGAGUGAUGAAGGCCUUAAGGUUGUAAAGCUCUUUUACCCGGGAUGAUAAUGACAGUACCGGGAGAAUAAGCCCCGGCUAACUCCGUGCCAGCAGCCGCGGUAACACGGAGGGGGCUAGCGUUGUUCGGAAUUACUGGGCGUAAAGCGCACGUAGGCGGUGAUUCAAGUCAGAGGUGAAAGCCCGGAGCUCAACUCCGGAAUUGCGUUUGAACCUAGAUAACUUGAAUGCCAUGAGAGGUGAGUGGAGUCACUAGUGUACAGGUGACAUUCGUAGAUCUUCGGAGCACCACCGUUGGCUAAAGCUGCCCCCUGUACUGGUU
rnacentral:rRNA from 1 species